rnacentral:rRNA from 1 species
AGCGAACGCUGGCGGCGUGCCUAACACAUGCAAGUCGAACGUGAAUGGGAGCAAUCCCUAGUAAAGUGGCGCACGGGUGAGUAACACGUAGGUAAUCUACCCUAGAGUUCGGAAUAACCUGCCGAAAGGCGGGCUAAUACCGGAUAGAGCGAGGAAUCCGUAAUUGGGUUUUUCGGGAAAGGGAGCUCGUAAGAGCCUUUGCUCUAGGAUGAGCCUGCGUCCCAUUAGCUAGUUGGCGGGGUAAUGGCCCACCAAGGCUAUGAUGGGUAGCUGGUCUGAGAGGAUGAUCAGCCACACUGGAACUGAAACACGGUCCAGACUCCUACGGGAGGCAGCAGUGGGGAAUCUUGCGCAAUGGACGAAAGUCUGACGCAGCCACGCCGCGUGAGUGAAGAAGGCCUUCGGGUUGUAAAGCUCUGUCACCCGGGACGAAAACUUUUAGGGUUAACAGCCCUAGAAAUUGACGGUACCGGGGGAGGAAGCACCGGCUAACUCUGUG